rnacentral:rRNA from 1 species
GAUGAACGCUAGCGGCAGGCCUAACACAUGCAAGUCGAGGGGUAGAAGUUGCUUGCAACUUUGAGACCGGCGCACGGGUGCGUAACGCGUAUGCAAUCUGCCUUGUACUGAGGGAUAGCCCAGAGAAAUUUGGAUUAGUACCUCAUAGCAUUAUGAUGUGGCAUCACAUUAUAAUUAAAGUUCCAACGGUACAAGAUGAGCAUGCGUCCCAUUAGUUAGUUGGUAAGGUAACGGCUUACCAAGACGAUGAUGGGUAGGGGUCCUGAGAGGGAGAUCCCCCACACUGGUACUGAGAAACGGACCAGACUCCUACGGGAGGCAGCAGUGAGGAAUAUUGGUCAAUGGGCGCAAGCCUGAACCAGCCAUGCCGCGUGCAGGAUGACGCAUCUAUGGUGUGUAAACUGCUUUUGUACAGGAAGAAACACUCCCUCGUGAGGGAGCUUGACGGUACUGUAAGAAUAAGGAUCGGCUAACUCCGUGCCAGCCGCCGCGGUAA